UCUAUUUCCUGUGUGUUUGGGCUCACAGAGUUAGGCCCAAUACAAAAGGAGAGGGCAAACACGUACAGCCUCCAUCCCCAAUUCAGUCGUAGUCUCCAGAAUCCUCUCGAUCCCCAAUCCAUUGCGCUUCACCGCCGCCGCCACCAUCGUCCGGUCCACAGCCGGAGCCGCCGCCACGCCAUCCUCCGGUCCGCCGCCGCCGCCGCCACGCCAUCCUCUGGUCCACCGCCGCCGCCGCCACACCAUCCUCCGGUCCACCGCCACCGCCACACCAUCCGCAGGUCCACCGCCAUGGCAGCAGCUACACCAUCCUCCCAUCUACCGUCGCGGCUGCCUCCCCUCCUUGCGGAAGGUCGUCCUUCCGCCUACAUCUUCCUCACCACCUGCGUAGUGCCGGUCUCUGCCUCGCUACCCGCCGGAGCACCAGCAUCUGCCCCCCACCAAGCUCCCGUACGUGUCGCCCCAUUCAGAUUUACACGUCUUCACCUCCGGCUGCCUGUACUCCUCUACUCGCUGCCUCACAAGUCCCCAUUCUCCAUAUCUCUGAAACAUCAGUGGACAGCUAGGGGAGUUGGCUGGCCACCCUUUUCGACGCCGUAAUUUCCCAGCUUGAACAAGUAUAUUGGUGGGAAGAGAGUUGGACGGUGAACUGCUGUAUGAAGCAUCAGGUGGCAUUCCUCAUGGUCGUGUGUCAAUAGGCGAUGGGGUUGUUAAGAAAGAAGAUAUUAAAUCAGCAGCUAGGAAAAGGAAUGCCAGUGCACCAAUUUCGCUCACACUUCGAGAGAAGGAACAACUCAGGCGUGCUAAUGACGAAAAUGCAGAACUCAGGCGUGCUAAGGAGAUGCUACAGCAGAAAGUAGAUAUGCAUGGGCAGCUCAUAACUGCACUUUUCAAGGAGAUAGGAAAAGAGUUGCCAGCGCAUAUACUACAUAUACUAAGCCAUGGAGCUGUUUCGCAACCAGAAGGGACAAAUAACUCGUCUCAAUCCGGCUCGCAAGCGGUUGAUGGCAACAAUGAUGUCAUGGAGUCGAGCGAGGAGAACGACACCACUGGGAAUGUCGGUGAUCAGAUCGUUGACGCAGCAGCCAACCAUGGCGGAAACUGAUUGCUCAAACAAUAUGAUAACAUCAGACUAUAGGUGGUCUUCAUACGCUCUUUUGUGGACUUGUGUAUCCAGUAUGGUUUAGGAAUGAGAACUAACAUCUGGUGGUAGUUGCAAGCCGGCGUAUUUUGCUAGUAUUGUUGUAGUUGGAAGGUCCUUUUGUGGAUGGUACCAUUGUAGCCUUGUAGUGUACUUUGUUGAUCUAUAUGUAUGGAACUGAUGAUGAUAUAUGAAGUCUGAUG